rnacentral:rRNA from 1 species
UACGUAGGGGGCAAGCGUUGUCCGGAAUUAUUGGGCGUAAAGGGUGCGUAGGCGGUUUGACAAGUCAGAUGUGAAAUAUCCGGGCUUAACCUGGAGGGUGCAUUUGAAACUGUCAGACUUGAGUGCAGGAGAGGAAAGCGGAAUUCCUAGUGUAGCGGUGAAAUGCGUAGAUAUUAGGAGGAACACCAGUGGCGAAGGCGGCUUUCUGGACUGUAACUGACGCUGAGGCACGAAAGCGUGGGGAGCAAACAGGAUUAGAUACCCUGGUAGUCCACGCUGUAAACGAUGGAUACUAGGUGUAGGAUUCGAUAGGAUUCUGUGCCGGAGCAAACGCAAUAAGUAUCCCGCCUGGGGAGUACGACCGCAAGGUUGAA